UUUAUUUUUAAUUUCAGAACUUGAACUUUUUUUUUGGAUCAACAUAAAUCAAGGAUUCUACAGGAGCCAGAACCUGGAUUUUUUUUUUGGAUCGACCCAAAUCAAUUUCCCUCCGGGAGCCGGGGAUCCCCUUUUCAUUUCUACUUCUGAACUGUACACUUUGAAUAUUUAAUGAACUUGGAUUUUGAAUCGUUUCAAUCUAAAGGAGGUGUCCUUUGAGAGCCGGGUAACCACUUAUAAU